rnacentral:lncRNA from 1 species
CAGAAGCCAGGCCUCUUGACUGCCAGCAUUUCUCUGCCUCUCUAUCUUUGUGUGUGACUGAAUGUGAGACAGGGACACCAGACAGGCCUAGACCCUGCAUCCUGGGAGUUUGCAACUCAAAGAUAUUUCCUCUACUUUCUGUGAACUGCCUUGACCCAUGGCGAAUUCAGCAAGGGUUGAAUGGAUGAUUUGAGUCCACAGGAUCUGAAGACCUUGGCUGGGAAUGUCAGAGGCGAGGCACAGCCUGCCUGAGCCCAGUGAGAGGAGAGGCAGAGCAUCUACAGGGCUUCAGGAGGCCCCUGCUGCAACCCUGCCUGCAAGUGAGUGAGUCGGCUGGAGCUGAGGCUGAGUUUCAAGUUCUAGGGAAAUGGAAAGGCCACGAGAAGAAGUAGGACCCGAAAGAAACUUUCCCUUCUUGGAAACGUCCGUGUCGCCAUUAUCCCCAACAACUUCCUUUUCACCUCCCUGCCUCUAAGGGACCCUCCCACCAUCAGCUUUCUCCUCUUUAUCCUGUGCCUCCAACUUCCCCCUUCCAUGGCUGCUACAUAAUAAGCAUUCAAUAAAUAUGAGUCAUUAAAUAGUCA